CCUGGCGGCCGUAGCGCGGUGGUCCCACCUGACCCCAUGCCGAACUCAGAAGUGAAACGCCGUAGCGCCGAUGGUAGUGUGGGGUCUC
rnacentral:rRNA from 7 species